AAAAUACUCCCUCCAUCCCAAAAUUCUUGUCUUAGAUUUGUCCAGAUACGGAUGUAUCAAGUCACAUUUUAGUAUUAGAUACAUCCGUAUCUAGACAAAUCUAAGACAAGAAAUUUGGGACAGAGGGAGUAGUUG
rnacentral:pre_miRNA from 1 species